CUCAUUGUAGUUUUAAUUCAUCUUAUGUCUGAUGAUUAGUGAUGCUGAGCAUUUUUAAAAUAUGCUUAUUGGCUAUUUAUGUGUCUUCUUUUGAAAACUGUUCGUGUCCUUUGUCCACUUUUUAAUGAGGUUAUUUGUUUUUUACUUGUUGAAUUGUUUGAGUUCUCUAUGGGUUCUAGAUAUUAGUCCUUUGUUGGAUUCAUGGUUAGCCAAUAUUUUCUCCCAUUCUGCAGGUGGUCUACUUACUCUGUUGAUUAUGUCUUUUCCUGUGCAGAAGCUUUUUAGGUUUAAUUAAGUCCUAUUUCUCUAUUUUUGUUUCUGUUACAUUUGCUUUUGAAGUAUUAGUCGUGAAUUCUUUGCCUAAGCCAAUAUUCAACAGAGUUUUUUGGCCAGGUGUAGUGGCUCUUGCCUGUAAUCCCAGCACUUUGGGAGGCUGAGGUGGGAGGAUUGCUUGAGCCCAGGAGUUCAAGAGCAGCCUAGGCAGCAUAGUGAUACCCUGUCUCUACAAAAAAAUUUUAAAAAUUAGCCAGGCAUGGUGGUGUGCACCUGUAGUUCUAGCUACUCAAGAGGCUGAGGCAAGAUAAUCGCUUGAGUCCAGGGAGUUGAGGUUGCAGUGAACCAUGUUUGUGCCACUGCACUUCAGCCUGGGUGUGAGAGAGAGACUCCAUCUCUUUAAAGAAAAAGAGUUUUUCUUAGGUUUUCUUCUAUAGUUCUUAUAGUUUCAGAUCUUACAUUUAAGUCUUUAAUCCAUUUUGAGUUGAUUUUUGGAUAUGGUGAGAGAUAUAGCUCCUAUACUUAUGCAUAUGGCUAUGCAAGUUUUCCAGCACCCAGCAUCAUUUAUUGAACAGGAUGUCCUUUCCCCAUUGUAUGUUCUUGCUGCCUUUGUGGAAGAUCAGUUGGCUCUAGGUAUGUGGCUUCAUUUCUGGGUUUUUUAUUCCAUUCCAUUGAUGUAUAUAUCUGUUUUUAAACCAGUACCAUACUGUUUUGGUCACUAUAGCCUUGUAGUAUAAUUUGAAGUUAGAUAAUGUGAUGCCUCUAGAUUUGUUCUUUUUGCUUAGGAUUGCUUUGGUUAUUUGGGCUCUUUGGUCCCAUAUGAAUUUUAGCAUUUUUUUUUCCAAUUUUGUAAAAAAUGAUGUUGAUAUUUUGAUAGGAUUUGCACUGAAUCUAUAGAUCGCAUUGGGCAGUAUGGUCUUCUUAACAAUAUUGAUCCCUCCAAUCCAUGAGCAUGGGAUAUAGAUGACACAAACAUUUGUGUCAUCUACAAUUUCUUUUAUCAAUGUUUUAUAAUUUUCUUCGUAGAGACCUUUUAUCUCCUUCAUUAAAUGUAUUCCUAAGUAUUUUAUUUUAUUUUUUAAUUAUUUUUGUAGCUGUCGUAAAUGGGGUUGAGUCCUUGAUUUGGUUCUCAGCUUGGUCAUUACUGGUGUAUAGAAAUGCUACUGAUUUUUGUAUGUUGAUUUUGUAUCCUGAAACUUGACUGAAUUCAUUUAUCAAAUCUAGUGAUAGUUGGAGGAGUCUUUAGGGUUUUCUAAGUAUAAGAUAAUAUCAUCAGCAAACAGAGAUAAUUUGACAUCCUCUUUUCCAAUUUGGAUGCCUUUUAUUUCUUUCUAGUGCCUGAUUUUCUGGGUAGAACUUCCAAUGCUUUGUUGAAUAGAAGUGGCAAAAAUGGGCAUCCUUGUCUUGUUUUAAUUCUUAGGGGAAAUACUUUCAAAUUUUCCCCAUUCAAUAUGAUGUUGGCCAUGGGUUUGUCAUAUAUGGCUUUUGUUGUUUUGUUGUUCUAUGCCUAGUUUGUUGAGAGUUUUUAUCAUGAAGGGAUUCCGAAUUUUAUCAAAUGCUCUUCUGCAUCUGUUGAGAUGAUCAUAUGGUUUUUGUUUUUAAUUCUGUUUAUUUGGUGAAUCAUAUUCAUUGAUUUGAAUAUAUUGAACCAUCCUUGCAUCCCUGGAAUAAAUCCACCUUGAUCAUAGUGCAUGCUAUGGUUUUAGAUGAUCUGACCAUACAUCUCAGUUGCUCAGAACAAUGUCCACAUGUUUCCUCUGUGCCAUUAUUAAGAUGGUCCCCUUCCCCUUUUAAAAGCAUCCUGGGACAAUAAAUUCUAUAGGCACUCUAGUUUUAGAGGUCCAAUAAAUAAAAAAUAAACUUAUGGUCUAUGUGUUAAAAAUAUUAGGGCAUGGCUUUCUAAGCAUGGCUUGAAAUCUGAGUUCUACACUAUUCCUAAUUAGUUCUUUGGCAAAUUCUGAUGCUAAGCCCAAAUAUUCCUGUUCUGAGGUCUCCUUUAUCCCUUUCAUAAAUGAUCCUGUGAGCUUUGGACUUUAGGGUUCAAAUUUAGCCUGGAGAAGACUUGUGAUUGUCUUUCAAGAAGUUGUUAGCUACUUUGUAAUUAACUCAACCUUCAAGGAUGGAGGUUGUAUUACUACCUGAAGUAGACUGUACACCAAUCUGUUGGUACACUCUGACUACCUGGAAAGGGUUGACAGAAUUAUAUAAGGCUACAUCACUAAAUGGGCAGAAUUUUAACACUGAGUGUAAUGCUCAGAAUCCAUGCUGGCAAGGCAGACUGAAUUAGCAUUAUAUUUGCUUGCAAAAAUGAAAAUAACCUGUCUUACAUAAUACUGACAAUAUUUUGCUGUAAUUCUGCCUUUUGAGCUUAGUGAAAUUCCUAUAACUUCUUUGCCAAGUUAUUUCCAAGCUAUAGGAAUGUAGACAUCUAUCUGUGUUACUAUUACUUUCAUAUACAAAUAGAAUUGCAUCUCAAGUUUACAACCUUAACUUUCAAAGUCCUUUACAUGUUAAGUUUUUUUUUUUUUUUUUUUUUUUUUACAUUGCCUUUACAAUUCACUUACAGUCUGUGAGGCCAACUUUGUUGUCAGGCCAGAUUAUAAUCAAGCUAUUCUUUGUUGAACCAAUAUGCCCUCUCAGGGAAUGAUCGUAAUCAAUCAAUGGUUUUACCAUUUAAAAAUUCCCUAUCAGGGAGUUUGAAUUAUUUUUCUUCCCUUUCAUUUUUGUUUAAGCUCUAUUGUUUUUUGAGCUAGAUAAUUUUCUUUGAGCUGGAAAAUUAUCCUAAUCUUGGUUAAUAAAUAUUAGACUAGUGCUAGUGAUACUACAUUAAUAGAGAAGAAUGUGCAAAUUAUGAUAUGCAAUUGGACUUAAUGAAGAAUAAUGGUGUAUUUAAGAGUGUUCAAAAAUUCAGAAUUUCCACAAAGCCUCUAUCUAAUUCUUUAAUCUUGGUGAAAUUAAACUGAGUAUUGAUAGUGAAGCAAUAAGGAAAAAUAUGAGGAUGUUAUAAUUCUUUUCAUGGAAAAUGUUUCAGAUCCAGAAUCAAAUCCUCACAUUUAGAUUUGACCUUGGGCAGUACCUCCUUUACUGGGCUGGCAAAAGGUUAAAUGAGUUAAUGAUUGUGAACUGCAUUGUUGCAGGUUGGAUUCUGCCAGCUUUGAUGGCUCUGACAGUGCUUCCAGUUCUGAUGGCCUAUUUCCAGAUUUUUAUCUUAGAGACAAAGAAACCUCGAUCUUGUCUAAAUCUCUGUUAUUGUGGAGUUUAAUUCUCUUGGAACCUAAUCCCAACUCAUAAAAGGUCUCAUCUACUCUUAUCAUAUAAUUUUUUUUAUUACUUGGCAUUUCAUAGAUCAUGAGUUCCAUGAUGGUAGAGAUCAUUCUUUUUGCUUGUAUAUGUCCUGUAGCCUCUGUCACUUAAAAAAGUUACUCAGUUUACAUUUUUAGUUGAAUAAUUUACCACAUAGUUCAUAUGUUUAAAGCAUGUAAAAGAAUUUUUUAUGUUGGAAAGUUUCAAGUUGUCAUAAAAGUAGAUAAAAUAGUUCAGUGGGUUCCCGUGUACUCAAUAUCCAGCUUCAACAAUUAUCAACUGAUGACCAACAUUGCUUUAUCUUCUCUUUCCCCUGCUGCCUACAUUUUUAAAAGACCAAUAUCAGACAUCGUAUAAUUUUAUCUGUAACUUUUUUACUAUGCACUUCUCACAAUAAGAAUCAAACAUAACCACAAUAACACAUUCGUACCUAUAAAAUUAACAGUAAUUUUUAAAUGUCAUCCAAUACUCAGUGCAUGUUCAAAUUAUCACUUAUCCCAAAAAUGUCAUAUGGUUUAAAAAUCAAUUUUGUUAAGGUAUGUCUUACACACAAUAAGAUCUGCCUAUUUUAAGAGUACAUUUAAAUGAGCUUUGACAAGGGUGUACACACCUAUAACCACCAUCAUAAUCAAAGAGAAUAUUUUGAUUCCACAAAAAGCUGCCUCAUCUUCCUGUAGUCAAUUCUACCUCCCUGCCCCAUCCUUAGCCCCAGGCAACAGUGAAUGUGCUUUUUGUUACAUUAUAUAUCACAAAUAUACCUGUAUGUGUGUGCGUGUGUACAUAUAUAUAAAAUAUACAUGUUAUUUUAUAUUUAUAUAUAUAGCCACUUAAAACUUUUCCUGCUUAUAAAUAAUUUUUAGCAAUUUGAUUAUGAUGUUAUUUGUGUUUAUCUAUCUUGGGUAUCAUUGAGCUUCUUGGAUCUGUGGGUUUAUCGUUUGCAUCAGAAAUGGCAAAUUUUCAGUCACGAUUUCAUCAAAAAAAUUUUUUUUGCCACCUUCUAUCUUCUUGGGCUCCAAUUACAUGUAUGUUUGACUGAUGGAUAUCAUGCCACAGGUCACUGAGUUUCUGUUUUUGUUUUUGUCUUUUCUCCUCUCUGCUCAUUAGUUGAAUAUUUUCUACUAUAGUGUCUUUGUGUUCACUGAUCUUUCUUUUGUAGCAUCUGAUCAACUGUUAUGAUUGUACAAUGAAUUUUUCCCUGCAGAACUUGUAUUUUUCUUUUCUAGAAUUUCCAUUUUAGGCUGGGCGUGGUGGCUCAUGCCUGUAAUCCCAGCACUUUGGGAGGCUGAGGUGGGCGGAUCACGAGAUCAGGAGUUUAAGGCCAGCCUGACGAAUAUGGUGAAAUCCCAUCUCUACUAAAAAUACAAAAAUUAGCCAAGUGUGGUGGCACACGCCUGCAAUCCUAGCUUCUCAGGAGGCUGAGGCAGAAGAAUCGCUUGAACCCGGGAGGUGGAGGUUGCAGUGAGCUGAGAUCGCACCACUGCACUCCAGCCUGGGCGACAGAGCGAGACUCCAUCUCAAAAAAAAAAAAAAAAUAAUAAUAAUAAAAUCAUUUUCUGCUGUUCCCAGCAUCUCUGUUAUUUAUCUCUGUUUCUUUUGACUGAUUUUUCCUUUUGCUAUGGGUCAUAAUUUGGUGAUUUUUUGCAUGUCUAAUAAUUUUUUGUUGGAUGCAGGACAUCAUGAGUUUCUGUUGUUUAGUAUUUAGAUACAGUUGUCUUCCUUAAAAAAUUCUGAAAUUUGUUUUGGCAGACAGGUAAGUUAUAUGUAAGUUAUAUGUUUACUGAUUAAUCUUUACUAGACUUGCUUUAAAGCCUUUUUAGAACAAUUCUAGAAUAGGCUGUUCUUCAGGGCUAAGUUAGCUCUAGUACUAAGGUUUGAUCCUUCUGAAAUCUCUACAUAUUGCUCUGAGUGUUCCAGAAGGUGUAUCUGCUCUGGCUCGUUAGAAUUUGCAUGCCUCUCAGCCUUGUGCAAGUCUGGGAAUGGUUUUGAUUAUAGUUCUUCCGUUCUUUAUCUAGCCUUGUGGAUCUUCCCCCUAUGAAUGUACAGAUUAAUAUUCAGCCAAUGACUCAAGGGGCCACCUCUGUAGAUCUCCGUAACUCUUUCUUUGCACAAUUCACUUGUCUCUGAACUUGGCUCUACCAAUUCCAGCUGGAUCAGCCUCUCCAAAGCCUGAUCUGUUUCUCUUCAACUCAGGGAGAUUGUGGUGCUUUUCCUGGCCUCCCCUGUCCCUUUCAUGCUGUUUAAAAGUCGCUGUCAGGCAGAAAUCCAGGACAGUUGUAAAACUCAGCUCCUUUGCUUUCUUUUCUCAGGAUCAUAGUCUUACAUUGUUUGAUAUCCUGUGUCUGAAAAAGAUGUUUUUAAACAUUUUUGUAUAAUUAUCUUUUAGUUUUGGAGGGGAAGAAAAUCCUAUACCAGUUUCUUCUUCAUGGUCAAAAAUCAAAAUCACGCAUUUUAAAAACCGUUUAUGCAUUUUGAAUCAGGACUCAAAGUAAGCAUGUUUAUAUUGGUCAGUGUGUCUUCCUACCUUUAUUUAAUAAGUAAUUAAGUCAAUCCUUUACCCUUCACUCUCUCUCUCUUUUUCUUUCCAUCCUGUUUUGUUGAACAAAACCUGAAAUGUUUGUACAGUUUCCAACAUUCUGGAUUUUACUGAUUGCAUUCCCAUGAUGUCUUUUAACAUAUUCCUCCACAUACAUUUCCUGUUAAUUGGUAAUUGGAUUUAGAGCCUUGAUCAUAUUCAGAUCAGAUUUUUUUUUAUAAAACUACAUUAAAGGUAUUGUUUGCUUUUCCAUCACAAAAGGAGCCCAUAUUGUCUCUCUUUUUGUAAUCUUAGCAGCUACUGAUGCUCCAUAACUAGAUCAAAGCACUGCUUUUAAUUUGCUAGUUUAUCAGACACUGGGCUUUAGCUGGGUUCAAUUUCUAGACUAUGCAAAUGGCACUAUUAUUUCUAGCUAUGCACUUGUUUUCAGAAUAUCAAUUACAAUGAUAAAUUGGAGCUCAAAUACAAAGUAGAUUUUUUUUAACUUGCUCAAGAAAAAGUUGGCUAAUUUUUACCAAUUGGCGGGAGGCCAGCCUCAAUUAUAUCAAUCCAUAUGUUACUUUCAACGUUAUGCUCCUUUCAAGGUUAUGCUCCAGCUAAAGUUGGGCUCAAGUGGUACUGCCAUGAGAGAAGGCACCCUUAGAUUGCCUUCAGUUAAACAAGAAUGGCUUUACGUAUUAGUCAUAAGACAGGGAUGCUUUUGUAGUGCUUAAGGGUAUGUACAAGCUGUUUGUAGUCUAAAUUUACUUAAGGACUUCCUUUCAUGCUAGUUUAUGGGGCUGAUUUAGGAACACAGGAUUUUCCAAGCAAAUGUGAGUGUCUGUCCCAGCUCUCGUACUAGUAAGCAUGGGAUUAUUUAUUUCUACACAGCACUUUCUCUAAUGCCCUUUCACAUCUUCUUCCUUAGGAUGUUUCUUUGAUACUAUCAGACUAAUUUUGUAAGACAUAGAAACUGGGGCUCAGAAGAUUCAGGGACUUGGAGAAGGUCAUUUAGCUAGGCUCCCUCCUUCAGUCUCCUGAUGGUGUCACGCCUGUGCCCCAUGCCCUGAAACACAGUGGGAAAGGUCUCUUUAGUCUCCCCACUCACCACACCUGUGCAGAAGAACCAGCCUGUAUGUUGACAUGUCUUCACUGGUCUGCUCAGUAAGUCGUGUGUGUAGGCAUACUCCCGAAAGUGGUUCUGAGCUGUGCGGGCAGUCUGUCUGGUUCCUCGUACUAAUCUACGGUAUCCCUUGUCCUUCUGGAAUGCGCCCAAGAUCUUUUGUCUAUUUGGUAAAGCACAAUAUUUGUUUCUCAAGCUCUGUGUUGUUUGUUUUUGGAGUAUUGUGGUAUUAGUAUUCCUUCCUCCACACACUCCAGGUACACCUUAGAGGGCAAUCUUUUUCUCUCCAAGUUAAAAUAUUUGUUUAGUGUGGGAUUUUUCGUCUCAACUUUCUGGAAACUAUGUUUUAAAAGCUACUUCAGCCAUCUAAGCUAAGGUGUGGUGACAACCUCUCAGAAUUGAUGUGGCUAGGCCUUGGCAUACUGCCACACGAGACCUGAUUUUCUUUACUUCUUCGUCUCACUCUCUUAAGGGAAGUAAAACUCAACUUUAUUUUCACCAUCAUGAAGAAGUACAGCAGCCAUCCAGCCCCGAUUUUGGGAAUAGCCUUACUUCAAAUUCUCUGACUAAUUACACAAACUAAUGAGAUGCUCUGGAAUUCUGUACAAUUCAAUGUUCUGUCUAGGUCUUCCCACCUGUCUGCCUCCCUGGAGGAGAAAUGGCACAGAAACAUCUUUUGUAAGAUGCCGUGUCCUGUUUGUUGAUUCUAAAACUAUGGUCAUUAAAUUUUACUGCGUGAAAUGAUUUGUCUUGGCUGGGGUUUCCCUGAGACACAGCGUGAGAGGGGCUGCUGCAGGUAGCUUAUGUGAGAAAUGAUGCCAGGGAGCAGAAGUCAGGAGCAGGGAGAGGAAGGCAGGGGAGGGAAGCAAGGAGCCCUAAGAAAUGGAUUUAGGAGCUGUCUGCUUUUCCCUGGAGGGGUGAAGACUUUUCCAUGAUUCCAUCUCCCAUUUGGCAAGGGCCCCUGUACUUCCAGAUUUCUCCUGUGUGAGCACCUAGAGGUCCUGGCAGACAUCAGAGAGGGCUGGGGUCAAGGUGCUGAGGAGCUGUACCUACAAAGAACUGGUCACAGCAGAGGCUGGAAUGAGAGUUGGGCUGAGGUUACAACCAGAUGAGGAAGAUUAGGGUGAGAAGUAGGCUCAGGCUAGAAUGAGGUGGGCUGAGGCUAGAAUGAAUUGUGGUAGUUCCCACAGAGAGGUUAGAUAUUUCCUUGGGGGAGGGGAAACAAAUGUCAGCAUACAUCUGUUUAAUUGAAAGCAUCUCACAGUUUUACCGACUUCAAUUUAUAUUGAUAGCUGAGUAAAGAAGAGAGUGUUGGCAUUAAUAGUGCUGCUUAGCAGCUCCCUCCCUGGCAUUCCAUUUCCAUGUGUUAAGGGUUUAGUGUGGAUCUGGCUGUGGCACUGGAAGCAGUGUGGGAUCCCAUGGGGAAUGCACAAUUCAGCAGUAACCGGUUUGAGGGCUGCAGGGUUUACCCUGAUGCUGAUGUCAAUUAUAGCAAAUUGUAGGUCCUUUUCGAUGUUCUCUUUAUCUUUUACUAUUUUUAAAAGCCAUUUAAGGAUUGUAUGUAAGCAAUGGAAUAUUAUUCAGCCAUAAAAAAGAAUAAAACCAGUUGAAUACAGGUUAACUUGUACAAGUUCCUGUGAUACAGUAUCACAUUUUCUUCAUCCAUUCAUCCACUGAGGAAUACCUAGGUUGAUUCCAAAUCUUGGCUAUCGUGAGUAAUGCUGCAAUGAACACGGGAGUGCAGAUAGCUCUUUGACAUGCUGAUUUCCUUUCCUUUGCAUAGAUACCCAGUAGUGGCAUUGCUGGAUCACAUUUUAAAUUUUUAUUGAAAUUUAAAAAUUGUUCUAUUUUUAAUUUUUUGAGGAACCUCCAUGCUAUUUUCCAUAAGGGCUGCACUAAUUUACAUUCCCACUGAUGGUGUAUGAGAGAGUUCCUUUUUUCUCUGCAUCCUUCCCAGCAUUUGUUACUUUUUGUCUUUCCGAUAAUAGCCAUUCUAACUGGGGUGAGACAGUAUAUGGUUGUGGUUUUGAUUUGCAUUUCCCUGAUUAAUGAUGUUGAGUAUUUUGUGAUAUAUCUGCUGGCUACUUGUAAAUCUUCUUUGGGGAAAUGUCUAUUCAGGCCCUUUGCCCAUUUUAAAAUUGGAUGAUGAUUAUUAUUAUUAUUAUUUUUGCUGUUGAGUUGUAUGAGUUCCUUAUGUAUUAUGACUAUUAAUCCCUUGUCAGGUGCAUAGUUUGCAAAUACUUUCUUCCAUUUUGUAGGUUGUCUCUUCACUGUGUUGAUUGUUUCCUUUGUUGUAUGGAAACUUUUUAGUUUGAUGUAAUCCCAUUUGUCUAUUUUUCCUUUUGUUGCCUGUGUUUUUGAAGUAUUUUCCAAAAAAUCUUUGCCUACUCCAGUGUCAUGAAUAAUUUUCCCUAUGUUGUUUUUCUAGUAGUUUCAUAGUUUCAUGUCUUACAUUUCAACUUUUUAUCCAUUUUGAGUUGACUUUUGUAUACGGUCAGAGAUAGGCAUCUAGUUUCAUUGUUCUGCAUAUAAAUAUCUAGUUUUUCCAGCAUCUUUUAUUGAAGAGACUGUCCUUUUCCCAGUAAGUGCUAUUGACACCUUUGUUGAAAAUCAGUUGGCUGUAAAUGCGGAGAUUUAUUUUUGGGCUGUCUACUUUGUUCUAUUAGUGUAUGAGUCUGUUUUUAUGCCAGUACCUUGCUGUUUUGGUUACUAUAGCUUUGUGGUCUCUUUUAAAGUCUUCUAUCUCUUUCCAGCAGUGUAGUCUUGUCAAGCUACUUCAUCUCCCAGUAGCUGUUUCCUCACUGGGAAAAUAAGAGUUGCAGGCAGGAUUAAAUUCAAUAUGAAUUUAAUUUCCUGAAAAAGUCUUCUUAGGACCAUUGCUCCAUAAAUAAUGAAGAUUUUAGAGAAUAAGAAUGUGAUUUAUGGGAGCCAUAUGUUGUUGGGUGCUGCAUCCUUGGCAGUUUUCUAUAUUUUUCCUGUGGGGAGGCUCAACAAGUCAAUGAAUUGUGACAUGCCCUCACCAGAGGCUGCUUCCAUGGUGUGUGUGGUUUGAGACUGAAGAUGCUCAGUCUAGGCCAAAUGUCUGAUCUAGCCAUUUUGCCAUUUCACAUCAGCAAAGGGUGUGUGUGUGUGUGUGUGUGUGUGUGUGUGUGUGUGUACAGUGAGGGCGAUGGGUGCAGAGCUUUUUCGACACUAACCCUUUCUGGCAGGAACCUUCCCACCUCAGUUGACGUGGCUCUUUCUCCUGUCUCUCUACCACUUUAGCUUCUAAUAUUUUUAGCUCUGAGGGCUGACCAUGGCAAUGAGCUUUUUCACCAGGCACAUGACAAGUGUGUGAGACCCUCAGGGGGUCUGAGUUUGUCCUUGGACCAGGCCAUCCUGCGAAGUCUCUGUCUUGUUCCUCCUGAUGGAAUCUGGCCUCACACACUUGGCCCCUGAAGAGGAGCUCGUGUCCAGAAUGUGUGAUGUGGGAGGGGGAUGAUUGUCCCACUCCUCUCCCCAGCAUCAAAUUGAGCCUCUGGGAAACUGUGACUUCAGCAGAAUUCCUUAAAGAAUGUUGGUGCCUCACUUCACGGUUAGGGUAGGGUGGAAGGAAAGAUAUUCUGGCAGCAGGCUCUUGAGUUCCUACUGGGUGGACAUGCUGUCUUAGCUGACAAGGGUAAUUAUUGUUCCCCAGGCCAUUGUGAUGGAGUUGAGAAUAGCAAACCUAGAUGAAAUGACUUGAGAUGCUUAGAAAGGAAUUUAGCAACAAGUGGAGAGUAAUAUAGUGAAGAUCAAGUGCUGAGUGUCUACCAGGAAAGAACCCAUCCAAGUCAGUUCCAAAUCCCUUUGCAGAGACUUCCUGAUUAGGUGACUUUUGAAAGGGUUUUGGAGAAACUUUUCUUCUACGGAAGUUCCUGGAGCUUUGACUCCAGGCCACAGCCAACACAUCCUGGUGCUGCAGGAUUACAAAAAUCACCCUCAAGGAGGAAACUGUAGACCUGGAUUUUUGGAAAAGAAGAGGUAGGCUGGUGUGAUUCUCUAUGACAUGCAAGUUGCACCCUGGAUUGCCUUUCUGUUCGUGAGCACUUCAUAUUUGCUGGCAAUUGGGCAACCAGUGCCAUCACCUCAUUCACUCCUGACAACAACUCAUGUAUACAUGGGUGCCACAGCCAAGCAAGGGUGGGCAAGCUGCCCAGAGUUAAGAGCAGAAUAGGGGUCCCGGUCCAGGGUGGUCUGACCACAGAAGCCCUGCUCCUUACACUGCAUUUGUUUCCUGCCUUGUAAGAAAUGACACAGCCCCAUCUAGGACAUGAAUGAGGAUCUGUUAGGCACCAGGCACCAUUCAGAGCCCUUGGUCAACAUUUUCCCACACAGUCGUUUGGGAAACCUAGUACAGUCCACUAGGUCGGUGCUGUUAUUGGCCUGGCUGUCAAGGAACAACAGGUAUAAAUAUAAAGCUAAUGGUAAGCAAGGUCCCUCCCGGUGCAGUGUGCCUCUCAGUCAGCUGCAUGCUCAGCCACGUUACCCAAGUUAUAUCCUGCUUGGAUGCCCAGAAAGGCUUGAUAAAAACAUGAUGUGUAGAGUCUGAGUGAAGUGUGUAUGUGAGUAUAUGUGUGCGCAUGUAUGUAUGUGAGUAUAUGUGUGCGCAUGUAUGUAUGUGCAUGUGUGUGCAUGUAUGUGUGUGCGCAUGUAUGUAUGUGAGUAUAUGUGUGCGCAUGUAUGUAUGUGAGUAUGUGUGCACAUGUAUGUAUGUGAGUAUAUGUGUGCGCAUGUAUGCAUGUGCAUGUGUGCGCAUGUAUGUAUGUGAGUAUAUGUGUGUGCAUGUAUGUAUGUGAGUAUAUGUGUGCGCAUGUAUGUAUGUGAGUAUAUGCGUGCGCAUGUAUGUAUGUGCAUGUGUGCUUACAUUUGCAUCACAUAUGUAUGUGUCUGUGUGCACAUAUGCACGUGUAUACAUGUGCCUGUGUAUGUGCACAUAAACAGUGUCUUUGAGGGCUUGGCAAUCUGUGUUGAUGUUAUUGAAGCUCUGCACCUGACUUCUGGUCACUUUUCUGUUACUGACCAGCUAAAUAACUUUGAGUAAGUCAUUGAACUUAUUUGGACACUAGUUCCAUCAACUGUUAGAUAUGAGGAUGGGAAUGGAUUGUCUCAAAGAUCCUUUUGAGUUCAAAAAGUCUAUGAUACCAGUGAGAAUGUUCCAAAGCCUUAAUGACACCUCACUGAAUGCAGCUUAAAAUGGCUGCAAGCUGACCAGACGAUUGCAUUCUCCAAGGUGAGCUGCCCUUCAUACCUCAUGCCCUUGAAUAAUGCAGCGUAAGUGUGUUUAUUGUGCCAGCUCUUCUUGUAGUUUUAUUCUAAUCCCUCGUCUCAGGCAACAUUUGUUUUGGCUGCAGUUCGAUACUUCCUCCUUCAGAGCUAUGCUUGGUUUUACCUCUAAUUCUGUGGCCCUCAGGGGCUGGUUGUACUGAUAAACUUUUACAAGUAAAAGGAGCUGUGGAGAUGACCUCCAGCUGGGGCUGAAGGCCUAUACAGCAGCACCUUCUUGCUGAAGCUAAGUGAUCCUCUUGGGGAGGAGGGUUGGGGGUCCAGGGCCCCUGAAGUCAGGAUUCCCCAGUGAGUUGGUCAAUGUGGACUUAGAUCUUGUUGAAAUAUCCAGAAGUAUUUCUAAGUAGAAUAUUUUUGAUCACAGAAACAAGGUAAAUAUUUUUGUCUUCCUUCAGUGGAGGACUUUGGAGCUCUCAGGUGGCUGCUCUCCAUCCCAGGCCUGGCUGUAGGAGGCUACCUGGGUGGGGUGCAGGCCCAUGCCUGGGGUCCUGGCUCCAGAGGCACCACAUGCCACUCAGUGAGGAUAAGAAUCCAUUCUGCAGCUUCUUUCAGCCCCACAUCAAUAAAUGGAGACAGUGGGAAGGGAGCUGUGCUACUUUGAAGGAUUUGGGGGCAGACUAAGAAGAAAACACAUGUGAAAGUGCUUUGUAAGGAUGAGUGCAUGGCGGGGCGACGAGGGGCGUUGGAGGCACAUGCAGCUGGGUAGGAGUUGCACUUUGGUCAUUGGCCAGUUAUGUGGCUUUGGGAACUGUUCAGACUUCUGGAUCUUGGCUUCCUUUUUUGUUAAGUAGGUGAUGAUAGGGAUCUCAUUGGGCUGCUGUGAGGAUGAGGUGUGUUUACAGUGCUUGGCAAAGAGUGGGGCUCCAUGCACAUAACUCCAUUUCCUCUACAUCUACAUUGCUCUGCAAACGAAGGGUGCUAUGACAAUAAACCCACCCCAAGGCCAAAGGAGGGGCGUGCUGGGGGUGGAGAGGGAUGGCUGGGAACUAACUAGCCGGCAUCAGCAAAGGAGGGAUUGUUUUGGUCUUUGUAGGAAAUUAGGAGGAUUGCCUUUCUCAUCUAUUACUUCCAAUGAGUUCUGAUGUUCUGGGGAAUCUUCUCUGAAUGAAUCCUGGUAUUGCUUCAUUUAUACUAUAACUCUGUAGUAUAACUAUAUCCUGUGUAAUCCAAGCCAAAGAUAGAGGGUUUGGGGACGACAGAUAUUUCAACAAUAGUCACUGAGGCAAGGAAUUGUGGAUUCUAGGAUGAGGCAGCAGGUGAAGGGCUUUGGUGCCCACACAGAGGAGAAGAGGGCAACUGGAGCGAGGAAAUGUCUUGCUGUCCUGCCGUUUAGCUCUGGAAGUGUCUCUUGGGACAAUCUUGGAGAAACGUCAACUGAAGUGCUAGUUUAGUAGCAGGGUAGCUGAGUCCUAGCAGUGUUUCGCAUUUCUCCAGUGAAAGCCCUAGAGGACUUGGAUGUCCCCAUCUCUAAAGACACCGGUGGCGGCAGAGGCCCAGCUUCUAAACACUCAGGGUCACACAGGCAUUGGUGCUUGGUAAACGUUUUCUUAUAUAAUUUCAAAGCCAUCUGUGACAUGGCUGUAUCAUCCCCAUUCUACUAGUGAGAAAACCAAUGCCAGGGGAUGGAAAAACAACUUCCUUAUGGUCACACUGCCAGUCAGUGCCUGGUGGGACCCAAGCUGGGCCCCAAUCCCCCAUGUCCCCCUUGGCACCUGUCCUGCUUUAGGGAAGAUGGUCUGUGGUCAAAGCUUAAUCUUUGCUUUGAUAAAGGAUUAAUUCAAAUUUUGGAAUGAAAAGAAGAGAUUUUGAAGCCCUAAAACUGUACUGUGUGACAAAACUCCUGUUCUUGGGAUAUGGUGGCAGAAGUAAGGGAAAGUGUCAGAAAAAGUCCCGCAAGGUGAGAAAAACUGAAAAAGAGACCCCUUUCCUAUAGAGGCUCACGAAGGGGAAAUUGCAACUGUGCGACCCUGUCUGCUAGCUUUCUCUGUCACUUCAUCCCCCAUUCCUGUUGCUGUGUGCACUUUUAUCCAACCCUCUUAAUGUCCAUGGCUGCGCUACCAGCAAAAUCUAACCCCAUCUGCUUGGCUAAGCUUCUUGCGCUCACCUAUACCUGAGGAGUACGACAUCAGGCUUCAGGGCUUAUUGAAGUCAUUACUCACAUCAUUGCACUAAUCACAAACAGAAGUGAAAGUUGUAAAUUGUAUAUAAUUACAUUUCAUAGAGAAAAAAGUAGAUUUAAAAAUGGCAAUUAAUAUUCUUAAUAGCCAAAAGUUAUUGCUAAUUAAUAAGAAAAACAUAAGCACUCCAAUUGAAAAAAAAUGAGCAAAGGUCAUAAAGACAUAAAACUCGCCUGUGGAAACAUACGUAGAGGAAACACAGAAUUAGUGAGUGUGUGUAUGGAAAUAAAUGGAAGGAUAAUGCUUGCUACCCAGUGUGGGCUUUGGGGGUAGAUCUACCUGGACUGAGUUCUGGAUUCACUAUUUACUAGCUCCAUGACCUUCAGCAAAGUAACCUCUCUAAGCCUUUGUUUUUAUCUGUAAAAUAGGGAUACUUAUUUUCCCUGCCUUGAGGGGUUAUUGUGAGGAUAAAAGAAAAUAAUUCUGUAAAGGGCUUAGUAAAGUGCCUGGUGCAGAGAAAUUUUUCAGUGCAGAUUAGCAAUUGUCACUGCUAGUAGUAUAUUUGCAUUGAUAACAAUUAGUAAUUUAACAUCUCACUGAAAUCAAAGAAAUGCAAUUAAAACAACAAAUACAUAUUAUUUGUUACUUAUCAGAUUGGAAAACAGGUGAAAAGAUUGACAGUAACCACUGUUGGUUAGAUGUGGAGAGAUGGGUUCUCUUGUGCAAUUCUGGGAUGGUAGGACCUGAUGCCCCAUUUCUGCAGGGCAAUUUGGCAAUAUACAUUAACGUUGAACAUUCUGAUAGUUUUUGACCCAGUCAUUCUUCUCUCAGAAACUUAUUCCUGGGAGAUAACUGAACAAAUGCACAAUAAUGAAUAUAUAAGAAUGUUUAUCCUGGCAUUUUUUUUUAUAGAAACAAAAAUUCAGAAGCAACUUAAACAUCCUUCAGUGAGAUUGACUAAUAAGUCCUGCUUCAUUUUUAUGACAGAAUGCUACUACUAAUAGCAGUGUUCUAGAUUUUCAUCCACCAUCAUGGAUAAAGCUCUCCGUCAUGUGGAUGGGUAAGAAAACAUGGAGUGGAAAAUGACAUCUAUACUGUGCCCAUGUAUGUGUAUCAAUCUUUUAGUUUAGUAAAAGACACAAGUUUGGGAAAAUGUGCUUUAAAUUGCUUACAUUGUCCUCUUCUUGGGAUCUAAUUUCGUUAUUUGAUUUUUAUGAGUGUCUGUUAUCUUUUUACUCAGAAAAAAAAGGAAAAGGAAAGUUUUUUUUUUUUUGUCCUUUAGCAGCAAAACCUUACACAAAGAUCUACACGUUGAUUUCGCUCCUAUGAACUGACUUGGAGUUAUGUUCCAAGAACGCAUCACCACAGCUUGCUUCCUUUUCUUUCUUCCUUGUUUGUUACUCAGAAGUGUUUCUUCAUUCUUUAGUCUAUGAUUCAUGCAAGAAGACAGAACCAAUGUUUUGCAAGACCUUCCCAUGAAGUAGAAAGAACAGUAGUGUUCACUCCAUAAGAGGCGUGCGCUACCACUUGCCUUGCCUCAUGGGCAAUGAGGAAGUUGCAUGGGUUUCCUACGGCUCUGCAGGGGUGGAGUGAGCCAGAAAGAACUGGUCAGCCCUAGACAUUCAGGUGCUAUCAAAUACCAGCCCUAGGGUCAAGAACACUUAAAAACAAAACAAACUUGAAACUUCCUUUGCUUGUGUUGCUUAGAAUCACUGCGGUAGGAGGAUUCCUGAGGCAUUACCUGGAUAGUCUCAUCUGGCUGGACAUGCAGGAGAACUGGGAGACUGCCGAGACUGCCACGUGGGGUGACUUGAGGGAUCUUUGACACUCUCUGUCUUAAUCUGUUUUGUGUUGCUAUAACAGAAUACACAGACUAAGUAAUUUAUAAAGAAAGGAAAUUUACUUCUCACAGUUUUGGAGGCUGAGAAGUCCAAGACUGAGGGGCUGGCAUCUGACGAGGGCCUUCUUGCUGCUUCAUUCCACGGCAAAAUGGCAAAGAGAAGAUGAGAAGAAAGGCUCAAAGGGACGGUGGGACUUGACUGAGGACCCAGCACCUCCUGGACCUGAAUCAAGGCCCUCUGUCCCGCUGCUUUUGUUGUUGUUUACCCUGCAACUUCACAGCCCUUCAGAAGGCCCUGGACAUCAUGUGCAAGCUCCGUGGAUGGCCUGAGAUUCAUCCUUCCAAGUUGUUUUCUGACUGAGAGGCAACAUUUUAAAUUGUGAUCCCCCCUUACCCCACCACACACACUGAAACAAAAGUUUCAAGAAGUCAUUACCACACAAUGACUCAGAUAUGUUCUAGUCUAGUCUGUCUAUUCCAUUCCAUUCCAGUCUCUUUCCAAACGAAAAUAAAAGGAAGGAAAUGCUGCAUGCGACUUGGUAAGUUAAUUUCAGGACACCUUGGGACUGCUUCCUGCUGCAUGAGGCAUCAGCACACAGCAGGGGAUAUUUUGCAUUCCUGUGUGCACCGUGGGUUAGACAGGCUGCUUGGCCCUAAGUGGAGAAUGGAACUCCAGUAGAAAGGCUGAGAUGCACUGCAAGUAACCACUGCAGAAAGGAGAGGAUGCCCACAGGCAGGCUGAAGUGGACCCGUGUGGAAGGAACACUUCAAGACCACUGGCCAAGAGACUUCCUUCAUUUUUAUCCCUUCCUGUUUUUCGCCUGUGCUGAGGAUUCACCACCAGUGUGGGGAGCCUCUGACUGUAAAAGGAAAGCUGACUCUGGCUCCUUCGUGUUUUCUGUUAAGUUGGGGCCUAAGUUUUUCUGCCAGCCUUUGCGGAGGAAAUGCAGCUUCCCUGGCACACUGCCCGGUCAAGGGACGUUGAAUCCAUUGCAAUCAGCAGUUGAAGAUCCACACUACAGGCCAUGUUCUUAAAAUAAGUGGCUCCAGGACUUCCAAGAGGCAGAAGGGGCUUCAGCUGGCCAUGGGCAGGAUCCAAGUGGAGCUUCAUCCCUGCAGAGCAAUGCCUGGCUCUCAGCGGAGGCAGUCUGGAGCAGGGCUUCUACCCUUUUCAGCUCAUAGAUUACUUUGGAAUCUGAUGAACACUGGGAGCCUUCUCCUUAGAAGAACAUACAUAUGCACGAGAAUGAGACAAUUACAUAACAUUCCUUGGGUUUCACAGAUGCUGAAGCCAAUGACUUGCUUGAAGCCUGGAAGAGGGUGUUGACCUGGAGAAUCCUAAAGGCCAAAAUUUAGAGAAAAUGGUGCCAGUAAAUGAAUUCACAAGGAGAAAUGCUUCCUUGCCAACUCACUUCUCCAGAUUAUUGAGUGCAUCUAUCUGUUUGCUUUUGGCUUCACGCAAUUGGCCCUCUUCAGUUCCGUACUCUUUCCUAAAUACCUUGCAAGUUUUCCUCUUCUCUCAUGCCAUUUAUAAUAUGCUGACGCCUGAUUAGAGGAAGGAAGGACUCAGCUGCACUUGCACUGGGGGAAGGGCCACUUACAGGAAGCCUACCUGGGGCUGAGCUGGGUCUCACUGCCUCCUAGACCUAAGGGCCCCAGCUUUUCCCUCAUCUCUUGUUGCAGCCACCACUUGUUCUAGAUCUGCAUCCAUAUCUGUAAAAUGGGGGUGAUAAUACCUUCCCAUAAAGUCACUGUGAGGAUUAAAUGUCCGGCACAAUAUUUGAUGCAUAGUGGUGCUGAAUAAUAUUUAUUGUCAUUACUAUCAUUAUUAUUGGCUGCUACCUUCAUUUUGAAAUUCUAUCCAUGAGCUACAUUAAUUAACCUGCAUUCAGUGUCAGGAUGUAUUUCUUAAUUUAGAUUUUUAAAUUUUUAGAGCAUGUGGCUAACCAUGAAUGUUGCAUUUUCUCAGUACCUAUUUAUUCAUAUGAAACUAUAGGUCUGGGCUCAGAGUUCAUCAAUAUUUAUAGAGAAGGCUCUACCUGUUGAGCACUGUGCUAGGCAUCCCCAGAGAUGCUGGCCUACUUCAUGCCUUAGGCAGCCCCACACGUGAGCAUUACUAACCCAUUGCUGCUAUGAGAGCAUUCAGAAAGAAAGCAGUUUAAGUUGCUUGACUAAACUGGUAGAGUUGAAAUUAAACUCUGUCUCUUCAUGUUACUGGACUGCUUGGAUAUCUACUUUCAGAAAGACUACAGCUUGAUAUAAACAUUGUAGUUUUGCUCAUGGAAAACUUACAGUAAAUCUGGGCUGUUUCAACACAACUGUCAAACUGUUCACCUACAGCUGUAUUUUCUCUUGCAAUGGGUGAAUAAGGUACAAUGAUGGUUGUACAGACCAUUACUAUUAUUACCUGUUAAUUUACAUUUAAACAGAUUUAUAAUUUCUGGCCCUGAUUUCCAGUCCAGUAUACAGCAAAAAUCCAUAUUUUAAACUAAAAAUAAUGUGCUUUUCAUAAAAUCAUAAAGAAACCCACCUGGCUAUUGUCUGGGGACUUGCGAGAAGGAUCCUUUGUAGUUUUCUUCCAUGUCUUCUAAGGAAUAGUUUGGAACACAUAGUAAAUAGUCAAUUAAUACCAAAGGGCAUUUGCAAAACUAUCAACUCCCAGUUUAUAUAAAGGACCAGCCACCAGAAUUAUACAUGAAUUAAAAAGUUAGCACACCAUAGUCAGAGAAGGACAACUUGGGAAUAGUUGUGUAACAGCCGUGAGGGUAAGCGAAGGGUCUGUCUACCUGUGCCUUCCCAGAAUACUGCCUCUCUUCUGGUCUGCUUUGGGAACAGUCAACAGGAAAGAAAAAGUAGACAGAUAGAGUCAGUGCGCUGAAUAAAAGAAGAUUCUAGAUCACUACAAGAGGCUUGUCAUUUGAGGCAAAGUGUCUGAGAGAGGAAGGUUUUUAUGGCCUCAAUGGGGAGACUGGUCACUGAUAAAGCGUUCUGGAUCUUUUGUGGGCCGGAAGAUAAGUUGAGUUUUGGUUAAUGUUUAAUGAUGCAGAACAAAAGUCAUAAAUAGUCCAUGAGAAAUAAGAGCACAAAUGAUUGGGAUUGGACAGUUUGCUUAUUCAGCUGCAAAAUGUGCUGUGUUCUAUUCUUGUCAUCCCCCCAUGGUAUAACAAAAUGCAGUGUGACAAGGAAUAUAAAUGUCCCCUAAUGCAUGGGCAGCUUUUUCUGUUCUAAGAGAGUCAGCAUGAGUCACUC
rnacentral:lncRNA from 1 species